rnacentral:tRNA from 3 species
AAGAUUUUAAGUUAAAUAAAACUAAUAGCCUUCAAAGUUAUAAAUAUAAGAUAUCUUUUAAAUCUUA